AUGGAGUCACAUGCACACCGUGCCAGCCCCGACGAACUAUACCGGUUGCUCAUCGAGCCCGAUUUUGCGUGUCACGCCAUUGCAGGGGAAAAUACCACAAGAAUCAUGUCAAUACAAAGGCAAUUCAUCGGAAAUGGAGUGAAGUGCAACAUGGAAAACUAUCGGAUGGUUACAAUCCCUGCCGUCAUGCAACAUGGAUGGUGGUGCUUCAACUGGGACAUGAUGGCCCACGUUAUAACCAUAAUGGACCCAAUGGCAUACCAGACAGAGGACACAACACAGAAAACUUGUCUUAUGUACGCGGCCGACAAGAUACACGACGCUCUUUUUGAUUGCAUUGAAGAAUUCUUCACCAAGUGGCACUGCAGCAGACAUUCAUGGACGAAGAAGACACCUCUACUGUCUACCACAACAUUCACACGGCCAGAGAGUGCCCUGUGUGUCGGCUACCUAUCAAGACAAUUCAAAGGGAAUUCACUAGCAAAACCACUUACCAGGGCAGCUAUUGCCAACGAAAGGGGCUCGCUCCUCAUCGAGCUGAUCCACAUGGAAGGCAACACCGCCCCUCUGCAGCUAGAAGAACUCGACACCGUCGUCGAAGCUCUGAAUGAGACGAUGAAAGACUUAGGGGUUUAG
rnacentral:rRNA from 1 species